rnacentral:rRNA from 1 species
UACAGAGGUCCCGAGCGUUGUUCGGAUUCACUGGGCGUAAAGGGUGCGUAGGUGGUUGUGCAAGUCUGAUGUGAAAUCUCCGGGCUUAACCCGGAAAUGGCAUUGGAAACUGCAUGGCUAGAGUGUUGGAGGGGGGACUGGAAUUCUCGGUGUAGCAGUGAAAUGCGUAGAUAUCGAGAGGAACACCAGUGGCGAAGGCGAGUCCCUGGACAACGACUGACACUGAGGCACGAAAGCUAGGGGAGCAAACAGG